rnacentral:piRNA from 1 species
UGCAUCAUUUGAUCUAAGUCA